AUCCAGCUGACGAGUCCCAUAUAGGACGAAACGCUCGUCCUGGAU
rnacentral:hammerhead_ribozyme from 1 species